AGUAAUCUGUGAAUUUGAUUUUCAUGUGCGCCAUACUAAUGGCUCCGUACAAAAUAAUAUCAUUAGAUACUCUUUGUUAUUAGGCGAGAUGUUGGUGCCCUUUCUUUGUUGGUUAUUCCCUUAAGACACCCAUGAAAAUCAAGAAUUGUGAUAAUUAUGUUUGUUUGUCUGAUGAGAUGAAGGCAAGCAAGGAAGAGCAAGUCGCAGCUUUGGCAAAAAACGUGUUAAGUGGCAAGCAGAUGAAAAUGCUUAAGUAUCUGUUCAAGGAUUAUCGACAGUGGUAGUAAUUAUUAAAACUUUUUUUUUCUCA